rnacentral:rRNA from 1 species
AUUGAACGCUGGCGGCAUGCCUUACACAUGCAAGUCGAACGGUAACAGCACUUCGGUGGCUGACGAGUGGCGAACGGGUGAGUAAUACAUCGGAACGUGCCCGAGAGUGGGGGAUAACGCAGCGAAAGCUGUGCUAAUACCGCAUACGAUCUACGGAUGAAAGCAGGGGACCGCAAGGCCUUGCGCUCAUGGAGCGGCCGAUGGCAGAUUAGGUAGUUGGUGGGAUAAAAGCUUACCAAGCCGACGAUCUGUAGCUGGUCUGAGAGGACGACCAGCCACACUGGGACUGAGACACGGCCCAGACUCCUACGGGAGGCAGCAGUGGGGAAUUUUGGACAAUGGGGGAAACCCUGAUCCAGCCAUGCCGCGUGCAGGAUGAAGGCCUUCGGGUUGUAAACUAGCUUUGUUACGGUAACGAAAAGGUACGUUUUCUUAAUUAAAGAAAGAACUACAUGACGGUACCGUAACGGAAUAAAGACACCGGCGUAACUAACGUAGCCACGCAGCCGAC